rnacentral:rRNA from 1 species
CUCUUCGGGGAUGAUUAAACCGGCGCACGGGUGAGUAACACGUGAGUGACCUGCCUUUUAGACUGGAACAACUUACCGAAAGGUGAGCUAAUGCCGGAUGAGUUAUAUAAGUGCAUGUUUAUAUAGGAAAAGUUGGGGAGACCUGACGCUGAAAGAUGGACUCGCGUCCCAUUAGCUAGUUGGUAGGGUAAUGGCCUACCAAGGCGACGAUGGGUAGCCGGCCUGAGAGGGUGGCCGGCCACACUGGGACUGAGACACGGCCCAGACUCCUACGGGAGGCAGCAGUGGGGAAUUUUGCGCAAUGCUCGUAAGAGUGACGCAGCGACGCCGCGUGAAUGACGAAGGCCUUCGGGUCGUAAAGUUCUUUCGACAGGGAAGAAAAUGCCUAUAAGUAACUGUGUAUGUAUUGACGGUACCUGUAUAAGCAGCCCCGGCUAACUCCGUGCCAGCAGCCGCGGUAAUACGGAGGGGGCGAGCGUUGUUCGGAGUGACUGGGCGUAAAGAGCACGUAGGCGGUGUUGUAAGUCAUUAGUCAAAGACUAGAGCUCAACUUUAGUAAGGCUAGUGAUACUAUAAUACUAGAGUAUCAGAGAGGAUUGCAGAAUUCCUGGUGUAGCGGUGAAAUGCGUAGAUAUCAGGAGGAAUACCGUUAGCGAAGGCGGCAAUCUGGCUGGAAACUGACGCUGAGGUGCGAAAGCGUGGGUAGCAAACAGGAUUAGAUACCCUGGUAGUCCACGCUGUNAACGAUGGAUGCUAGGUGUUGGGCUUUUANGUUCAGUGCCGCAGCAAACGCGAUAAGCAUCCCGCCU